rnacentral:rRNA from 1 species
UGGGGAAUAUUGCACAAUGGGGGAAACCCUGAUGCAGCGACGCCGCGUGAGUGAAGAAGUAUUUCGGUACGUAAAGCUCUAUCAGCAGGGAAGAAAAAAAGUCCUUUGGACUUUGGACGGUACCUGACCAAGAAGCCCCGGCUAACUACGUGCCAGCAGCCGCGGUAAUACGUAGGGGGCAAGCGUUAUCCGGAUUUACUGGGUGUAAAGGGAGCGUAGACGGCAGCGCAAGUCUGGAGUGAAAUGCCGGGGCCCAACCCCGGAACUGCUUUGGAAACUGUGCAGCUCGAGUGCAGGAGAGGUAAGCGGAAUUCCUAGUGUAGCGGUGAAAUGCGUAGAUAUUAGGAGGAACACCAGUGGCGAAGGCGGCUUACUGGACUGUAACUGACGUUGAGGCUCG